UAGCAGAUUUAAAAAAAAGGUAUAUAUGUCCGGCGCUCAAGGGCUAAUGUUACAAUGACUUGUCUUUGUGAGGUAGCAUAUGUUUUUCUAUUAUCGGUACGUUCUCCCAGCGAAUAAAUUUGAUAUACGUUCAGUCGUAUGUCCCUAAUUGUACACCGUAUGGCUACAAUGUUUUUUUUAUAAAAAAAUCAUGAACUAGUAUAGUGUAACCUUUACUUCAACAGGAAGGAGAGGAGAUCACUUAUGACGACGGCCCCUGCUGUCCGAGGUGCCAGCCAAUUCCUCCCACCUGCCAACUUCGAAACAAAACGGAGACCAUUAACUACGAGAACUGCCGCUCCACCUCCGAGCUCACAUACAGCUACUGCGCCGGCUCGUGCGGCGAGAGCAAGUCUAAGCCACAUCUGACUCUGUCGAACGGGGAUCCGCCUUCAACGGACAACGAAUGUAGUUGUUGCCAGGGUAUUCCCGGAGGAAACCAGGAGGUCGAAAUGCGUUGCGAGAACGCCGACGGAACUGUGGAAACAGUGGUCGCCUUCAUGCCGACGCUAACAGCAUGUCUAUGUGACAUGUGCGGGUAAAGCUCGUUCUACGUUUCCGGAAGUGACAUGAACAGCUCGUAGUGAAAAGAAAAUGAACGCAAAAGGAACAAUAUAUGUGUUAAACUUUUUAACUGUUGUUACUUGUGAAUGAAGAUUACCCUUUCGUUAAGUUUUUGUUUAUUAAUUCUAUGGAUAGUUAUGCACAUAAAUUUUACGCACUGAU